GGACUUGUAGCUCAGCUGGUUAGAGUAACAGACUCAUAAUCUGGAGGUCCUAGGUUCAAGCCCUAGCUGGUCCA
rnacentral:tRNA from 1 species